ACAACUAUCUGAGGCCGGUCAAUAAUAAUGUAGGCAACAACACAAGUUAGAGAUUUUGAUUAAUGAAUCAAACUCCUACAACUUGCCAUGCCAAAAAGAAGAUGAGAAAUGAUCUUGUAUUGAUUUAGGUUCUUUGCUUGAUUAGGAAGCAACCUAUCCUUAAUGGAAAGCCAUUCACUUGAUCCAUGAUCAAGAUGAAUUAGAUUUUAAUCAAGGAAGGUUAGACCUCUCAUACAUCAAGGCUAACCACCAAUCUUUAACUCAUUGAUAAAAAAAAAAGAAGAAGAAGAAGAAGAAGAUGAAUAUUAACGUACAUUAAUGGAAAUAAAAUGAAAUAA
rnacentral:lncRNA from 1 species